rnacentral:tRNA from 1 species
GCCUCCUUAGCUCAGAGGCAGAGCACUGGUCUUGUAAACCAGGGGUCGUCAGUUCGAUUCUCACAGGGGGCA